rnacentral:rRNA from 1 species
GUUUGACCUCGGAUCAGGUAGGAAUACCCGCUGAACU